UGAGAGUUUGAUCCUGGCUCAGAGCGAACGCUGGCGGCAGGCCUAACACAUGCAAGUCGAGCGCCGUAGCAAUACGGUGCGGCAGACGGGAGAGUAACACGUGGGAACGUGCCCUUCAGUUCGGAACAACCCAGGGAAACUUGGGCUAAUACCGGAUACGUCCGUAAGGAGAAAGAUUUAUCGCUGAAGGAUCGGCCCGCGUCUGAUUAGCUAGUUGGUGGGGUAACGGCCCACCAA
rnacentral:rRNA from 1 species